rnacentral:lncRNA from 1 species
CAUGACGCAAAGUACCCCUUUGGUGUGACACGGAGAAUAGGAUCUAGUGAGACCCUAAACAAACCACUUGACAUAAGCAUGACGUAAAGGAAAUACAAUAAGAGAGAAUAAGCAAUCUAAGUCUCAACUCAUACAAUGACAUAAAAGUUACCAACAGAGUUCAUAAGAGAAUACGUGAAAUACUACUAAGUCUGACAUAACAUUUAUAACAUUAUUGGAGUGGUUGGGACGUAACGCAUACACCAUGUAUAAGUCUGAAACUGAAAGACAACCAAAAAUAAUAAAAGCAUCUAGGCUUCGCUCUCGAACCAUGAGGACUCACCACUACGAAUAGUAAGUUGAGCAAUCCCGAUCUAGCCAUGGCCAGGAGGAGGAGCGCCAGACCCUAUAUUAUGAGACAAUAUAGGCACAGAUAUGCAUUAGUACUAUGAAUGUACUAAGUGAGGGGAAAUGCAUGAAAACAUAAAACAUGGAAAAUGGUUAAGUUAAGCACAAUGUGAAUGACCAAGUCAAACACAAAUAAACUCCUUUAAAGAGAAAUCAUAAGUCACGAAAAAGGUCAAUGCACACUUGAAAACCAUAGGGAAAGCUUUCAAAAAUACUUUUGAAGAAAACAUAGUUCAUUUGUGGAUUUUCCGUUAACCGACAAUAAGACCAUGUGAGUGAUAACAUAGAAUGUGGUGUAACCCUCACCCCUGAAAGAGAGGGUCUACUUGCAAAGGUAGAAAUUUGUAUUAUUCAUUAGUGCUAAAGUGGAUCACACUAGCUAGAUCAUUAAAGAAAAUCCUACAGGGGCACAUAGUUUGGGACAAAGGAAUUUCUACUAAAGACCAAACCUCUACUAAAUGUAAGGCCUCCAUUCAAAAGUCCUCUCUAUGCUAGGUAAAUCCCUACAGAGAAACAUAAUCAUAAUCAUAUGAAAAUACUUUUAAAAGGGACAUUUAAGACUAUUGAUCCAAUCAUAAGUUCAUAUUAGAAUGACUCAUUUCAGAACAGUGAUUUCAUAAACUUGUUCAUAAUACAAACUUACCUUUCUAAGCAUCUAAAUCACGAUUCUGUAACAAUGUGCAAAAACCUUCAACAAAUUAUCAAAACUUAUCUUAAAAGCAUUCUUUCGUAAUAAGUCAUCAAUUUCAUAAAAAAACAUUAAUGGAUUCAUAAUCAUAGUUCAUAAGUUCAUAAGCAUAGUUCAUAUUUAUAGAAUAGGUUUAGGCAUGUGUCCAUAUGAAAUCAAGCAAAAAUCAUUUAAUUGACUUAAUAUCAUGCAUAAUAAGAUCAAAUAAUAACAAUUGAAUCAUAGUAAAUUGGACCCAUGAAGAUUUGACAUAAAACCCUAGAAAUUAUGUGAAAUUGAAUUAGAGAAUGGAGAUUCAUUGGGAACCCAAUGGAUGGAAGGAAUACAUUGGUGAAGUUCUCACAUACCUUGAUGAUCAAAGACCUAAAAGCAAGAGAGACAAUCUUUGAAGCCUUUGAAACCCUAGUUCUUCACCUUGGAGCUUGAGAGAGAAUUGGGAGAGGAUGAACUUGGAGGAAAUUUGGGAUUUCAGUGAAUGUGAAGGAUGGGAAGGCUUAGGGGUAUACAAUUAGAUAUAGGGCCUUAGUAUGUUCUAGAAAGGAUGUAGUUUAGGAGUUAAAUGAGUAGGAAAAGACCAAAACAAAUAAAAUAUGUCGGACGACUCCUACUAUUCCUACCUAUUGUCUAUAAAACAUUCUACGAACCAUCCUGGUCAAUCGUAUAGUCAUGUACUAGGUAUAGAAAUCCUGUAAAACUUCUACAAGAUCCUUCUAUGGGUCGUCAUCCAUUCUAGGGUUUGUAGGUACCACUUGUAGAACACAACUUUAUGUCCAAAAUCUCACUAAGUCUAGAUCACCUCUACGAAUCACUUCUACGGCCUGUAACGAUUCCUACAGUCUGUCUUGUUCAUCUAUAGACCAUCAUUUGAGACUUAAAAUUUUCCAAAACUCAACCCAAGUCCUAUGACUUCCCACCUACGGCCUGUAGAACUUUCUAUUAGUCGUAGGUCAACUAGUAGAACCUACACUAGUGCCAAAUUUUGUGCAACUUUUCCUUCCAAACUCAACUUCUAAUUUCCAAGUGGUUACGUGGUCUUGGUGAGUAUAGAGGUCAAGGAGACCUAGACCAUCGUUUAUAUGGAUAUGCCUGAUGAGUAACGGGGAAUGGUAGAAUAUCCUUCUAUUGGAGAAAAAUAUUUUGGUUUUAAUCUAGGAGUGUUGGGAAAUAAUCUUUCAACACAAAGGUGGGAAAUAUUUUGGUUUUAAUCUAGGAGCUUGAGAGAGAAUUGAAGGCUAGAGAGCAUUUCGGUGAUGAGUUAUGCUGGAAGAGAAGGGAAUAUCAAGAUUAAAUAUUUCAUUGAAGUUGAUUAAAUUCCGUAAAGUUGGUGUGUUUUUUCCUAUUUGCGGGUUUAUGGGAGGUUUCAGAUAUCAUUUGGAUAUUAGAAAUCAUGCACCAAAUUUGAUGAAAAUUAAAAAUGGUGGUUAAUAGGUUUCUCUGUUUUUUUUUUAAAUGGAUUUUUAAAUUUUCCUUAGAUUCAAAUUCGGUUGCAUAAAUUUUGAGCUUCUAAAGAAGAAGGUUUGAUUGUCUUUCUCUGCAAUUGUGGAAGAUUCUUAAGUUUCCUACACGUUUAACGUGUUCAGUGAAUUUUUCCCAUAUUGAACUAGUCGUCUGAUUACAUUGAUUUUCCAUGGAUUAGAAGUUUUUCUCUUCUUUUUUUUUGUAUUUCCCCUGAUACAUUGACUUGAUUCUUAAGUCAAAUAGAGUUUAACUUUAGACAACAUAAGACAAGGUUUUUUAUCUCACCAAGUAAUACAGAACCAUUGCACCUAGUUCUUUGUGAAGUUUCAAUAUUUGAAGAUCAAUAAUAAUAUAAUAGGAUUUCUUAAGAAAUUCUAAAAGAAUCCUAUUACAUUUUGGUUGAUCUUCAAAUAUUUAAACUUCACAAAGAACUAGGUGCAAUGGUUAUGUAUCACUUGGUGAGAUAAAAAACCUUGUCUUAUGUUGUCUAAAGUUAAACUCUAUUUGACUUAAGAAUCAAGUCAAUGAAUCAAUGGAAAUACAUAAAAAAGAAAUAUUACUAAUCCAUGCAAAAACAAUAUCAUCAGUCUACAAGUUUCAUUUUGGAGUAAUUCAUUCAACAAGUAAAACGUGUAGGAAACUUAAGAAUCUUCCAUAAAAAGCAAGAAAAUCAAACCUUCUCUGAAAGCUGAAAAGUUUCUGCAAUCGAAAUGGAAUCUGAGGGAAAUAUUAACAUCCAUUAAACAAAAAACAGAGCAAACCAAUUAACCACCAUUGUUAAUUUCCAUCAACUUUGGUGCAAUAUUUCUAAUAUCCAAAUGGCAUCUGAAGCCUCUCAUAAACCCCAAAUAGGAGCAAACAUACAAACUACGGGUCAGAUAACAUCCCUGGUCUUAUGUUGUUUCAAGUGAAACUCUAUUUGACUUAAGAAUCAAGUCAAUGAAUCAAUGGAAAUACAUAAAAAAGAAAUAUUACUAAUCCAUGCAAAAACAAUAUCAUCAGUCUACAAGUUUCAUUUUGGAGUAAUUCAUUCAACAAGUAAAACGUGUAGGAAACUUAAGAAUCUUCCAUAAAAAGCAAGAAAAUCAAACCUUCUCUGAAAGCUGAAAAGUUUCUGCAAUCGAAAUGGAAUCUGAGGGAAAUAUUAACAUCCAUUAAACAAAAAACAGAGCAAACCAAUUAACCACCAUUGUUAAUUUCCAUCAACUUUGGUGCAAUAUUUCUAAUAUCCAAAUGGCAUCUGAAGCCUCUCAUAAACCCCAAAUAGGAGCAAACAUACAAACUUUGCUGAACUUUAAUCAACUUCAAUAAAAUAUUCAAUCUUGACAAUUCCUUGUCUUCCAACAGAACUUAUCACUGAAAUGCUCUCUAGACUUUCAAUGAAAUAUCUCUAGUUAUUUAGGUUUGUUUUGAAAUCUUAUCUUUCUUUAAUAUCUAGCCUUGAAUUCAUCAAGGAUCAUCUCAGGGUAUUUGUUGAUAACAAGAAGUGUACUUACCAUAGGGUCAUGAUGAAAUUGGAUAUGGCUAAUAACAAUCUUCAGGACUGUUCUUUUAACUCUUUAUUCUAUAAUAACUAUGUUAUUGAGACAAAUGACUUGAAUUGUCCCAUGGAAAAUUCCAGUAUAUCUUUUUUAUUGUAGGGUUUAUCAAUAGAUUGUUUUGUCUGGGCGGUGGGAUAAGAGACUUUAUUUUAAGGCAUCCAACAAUUAAAAGUACAACAAAUUCUCUCAGUCUAUACAAUGAUUGACGAGUAAUAUCCAUUUUAGAUAUGGUUUUGGAUAUGAUGAGUUUUGUGAUGAUUAUAAGUUAGUAUGUAUUGUUGUAAUCUACAAUUGUCACGCCCCAAAAAAGAGCAAGGACAAGAGUCGUAUGAACACUUGCUCUAAAAAUAAGCUAAUAAAUGAGCGGAAUAUAACCAACACAUGUUACAAAUAUAGGCUAUAAAGUUGUUGGGCUAAAAAUUGCACAACAUGAUACACAUCACAAUGUCUAGGAAGCGUCUAGUAGAUUUAAUACAUUGUACUGCCAUACCUUGUCGAGAUAGACCUCGAUGUAACCAAUAGCAACUUGUACAUAUAAUCAAAAGUGCUAGACAUAAGUUGGAUCUGUAUAGAGAUUGAGCUCUUCAAAACACCAAUUGAAGUCGACAAAAGAACCUAACAUGGAUGUCUUUUGCCCUGUAAACUUGAUCUUCUAUUUACAAUGAAAUGGAGUGCCAUAUAUACAGGAACGUCAAUACAUAUACAACAUGUACUUGUAUGGAAAGUAGACAGAAUAAUAGGUAGACAAGUAUGAAAGCUCAUAUGAAUCAAAUGUUAAGUCGAAAGAAUUAAGAGCACAUAAGAAGUAGAUAUCGUAUAUAUAAGAGUAUCUUAUGCACUAACUUAAUUAGUUGAUCAUAUAAUAUAUCCAAAGAAAGUUUCAAUUACAGUAUAAACCUAUCGUUUUAAUCAGUGAAAUGCUUCAACUAUUUCUAAUACAACUGAUCACGCGAUGACCUAUCAAAGGCGAUCCAGGUCAAUCGUAAGAUAUAAUCUUCUAAAAUUUUAUCCCUAUGCCUCUAUGCAUAUAGUCUAAUUGUGGUCUUGUAGGAGGUACACCCUUCGCUGGCUCACUAUGAGGGUCUGCUUGCAGGGCAUAUGUGCCAUGUAUCGACUCGAGUAAGGGGAAACUAGAACAUGACAUAUGUGCUGACUCCAAAUGCAAAUGAUGCCACAAGGGCAGGUACACCACAUCAUUUUGGCUCACUAUAAUGGUUUGGUCUCAAUCAUGUGCAAAUAAUCGCAUUGCACGAGUGUAUCAAGUAAAAUCUAUGAAUACCCUCCUGUUGCUAUCCAUUAUUAAUUAAUCCUUAAAAGGCCUAUGAUAGUGAAUUUACAAUAAAGAUAGAUACCCUAUCAUGUAGACAUUCUAUAUAUCACUAAAUUCUCUUAAAUAUAAUAUUUAGUCGUUCAAAUGGUGGCUCGCGCUUUGUUUUUUGACUAUAUACCAACAUAUAUAUGUGAAUAUAUUAAGGUUAUUGCUUUAUUUCUAACGAGUGACAGAUAGGUCAUAUGACUUCUAAAAAUUUCAAGUAAUGAUACUUAUGGUCAUAUAAAAUAUUGUGAAACUCAAGUUGAAAGGAGUAAUAUGAAUACAUAUUCGCUUUCACAAUUAGAAAGGGAAAUGGAACGUGAUUUUGACCUUUACAAAAGAAACAUGUGAUAUAAGGUUGUCCUUUAAAGGUAAGGAUAAGUUUUAGCUUCACAUACCUUGGAUUCUUUCCAAACUAAAGAUAGUAUCACAAGUCUUCAACAAUUAAACCAGCAAAGUUGCAUCCCUCACAUAGUCAUCAAAUCCCUUCAAACAUCCUAUAGGCACCCAAUUAAUCCAACAAAAUCAACUACUAAACUAUAUAUAUAUAUAUAUAUAUAUAUAUAUAUAUAUAUCUGUUCAUCAAUAAUCCGUAGAUUUAUCCAACAAUUCAUUGCAAUAAUACCCACUAAUUCUAAAACUAAUCAGAUUCUUAAUAACCAUUUGGAGUGAAUUCCUUAUAUAAUUUCCCACUUUACAAGGUUCAAUCUUAAUUAUGCCUAUAAAUAGAAAUAUCCAAAAAUUCACUAUUCAUAUUAUUCCCUUUCCAUGAACAGUAAUUCAUCACAAAACCCAUUCCGAAAGGUAGUGCAAUAAUCCCAAUUAGAUGGUGAUUUUUACUUUACACUACAUCCCAAAUAAGUAAACCAUAAUUAUAUUCAAGUGCGGAGUAGAAAAUUUACCUAUUUGAAAUCAACCCAACUUGAGUUCUUGAUGAAUUUCCACAACUUUUGAACAAAAAAUAAUAGUUGUCUACCAAUUUAGAUCACAAACACUUCUCUUCAAGAAAAUUCUUAUUGCUUUAAUUCCCAAUUUGCAUAUUACCACUGAAGGAAGAAGAGAAGAAGAGAGGACAAGAGUGAAGAGCCACGUUCUUUUCUCUAGAGGAAGUGAUGCCUUAACUUUCUCCUUUUAGAGUUCCAAAUCUUUAAGGAAAAGUUAAAGUGGUCC